AAAUUUUGCAAUGCGCGAAAGCGUGACAAGGGGAUUCCGAGUGAUUCUCUUCGGAGAAUCUUUUCCUCUGUGUAAAUAGCAGGGGGAAUAAGGGCCGGGUAAGACCAGUGCCAGCCUUCUAAUAACGUUGCACGUUAUCGUUAUUAGACUGGAAGCCGCGGUAAUACUGGCGGCCCAAGUGGUACCCACGUAUAUUGGGUUUAAAGCGCACGUAGCUGGCUUGUUGUGUUCUCUGUGAAAUCCUUCAGCCUAACUGAGGGGCGUGCAGAGAAUACUAACAGGCUUGAGAAUGGGGGAGGCCAGAGGUACGUACAGAGUAGGGGUAAAAUCCGUUAAUCCUGUACGGACCCACAGCGGCGAAGGCGUCUGGCUAAAACAUGUCUGACGGUGAGGUGCGAAGGCUAGGAGAACGAAACGGAUUAGAUACCCGUGUAGCCCUAGCAGUAAAUGAUGCAGACCUAGGUGUUGCCGUAACUUAGGGUUACGGCAGUGCCGUAGCGUAAGCGUUAAGUCUGCCAC
rnacentral:rRNA from 1 species